rnacentral:lncRNA from 1 species
UUAGAAUUGAAUGUCAAAGCUUAUCACUUUGAUAACCUCAUUGCCAAGUUCAAAAACCUUGAUUUUUAUAGAGGUUUGACCACCCACGUGCACCUAUGUCCUCUCUUCAAGUCAAGUAAUUGGUAUUUCAGUAUCUCUUCAAACGUUUGUUUUUCAUAUGCUUACCUUCCCUUGUCACAUAUAAAUACUAGUUUAAGGUAU